GGAAAAAUUACUUAAAUUUCCCCAAGCCCAGUUUCCUCAUUUGUAAAAUGGGAAUGACAAUGCUGAGGCGCAGAGCUACCCUUUCUAGAGAUCUGUUCUAAUGACAGUCCAUGAAGCAGAACUGACACUCAUCCAAGAAAUCCUUGAAAAUGUUUUGGAGAACAUCUAGGCUUUUAGAGGUUCCCAGGCCAAUUGGUUUUUGUCUUUGCUUUAAUUUCUUCUUGUAUUUGACCCAUGUGCAAAUUUUAUGGGGCAGUAUAUGGUCCUCACCAUACACUGGUUUUACAGGCAGUAUUGAAUGGAGUCAUAGAUAAGAAAGAUUUGGAAGACAAUGAAGGAGGCCCAGCAAGCAGAUUUGAGAGAUUGUGCUCUGUACUUGUGCAAUCUAAUUGUGUCCUGUUAGAAAGGAGAUGUCCUGGGAAACUCAAAUUAAGGUGAGCAGCAGCCUCUUCUUGUAGUUCAGGUGGACAGAACACAGCCACUGAGGCCUGGCAUCUUCUAAGCACUGUGAAAACCGUACUCUCCUACCAAUCACUGUAUUUUACAGCGUUUUGCACAAUUCUGUGUCCUUCACUCAGUUGGGCCUCCUCCAGGGCAUAAGCUCUCUGAUUCCCUCUGUGUCCCCAGAGUCCUGCCCAGAUCCCACCACAUAACAUUACUGGCCCUGAGCCAGGCCUGAGAUUUAGCCUCAGGCUCUGUAAACUCUGUGCCCUUUAAAAUGGUGACUUGUCCUUUCUGGGCUACGUCUCUUCAAAGUGGGCACAGAUCAGAUCUCUGCGGUCUCAUUCAGCACCAGGACGUUAAGAUUCUAUGAUGGAGGUGUGUGUUGAAUGAGAUGGGAAGGGAAGCUGUGCAGUGGUCCCCGUUCUGCCCACCCUGCCCCUGAGGUCCACACUUGCUGGGAGGCCUGGACAUUUCGUCAGUUACAGGGUGAGUGCUGGCCAAACCACCAUGGAGAGAUGAAGAAAUGGCACAUCCAAGCCAUGGUCCAACCACGGAGGCCAGAUCAACAUAUGUGAAUAAGGAUUGAUAAAAAGAAAUACAGCCAAGUGCAAAGCAUCACAAUCACACCUCAAAAGGCUGGGCUAGGGAGGUCUUUUGGAAGUGGGGGCUGAGAGUGACUUCCAGUGCUGGUGAGGGAAGGGAGGGGCUCACGGGGCCUGCCAGUUGCCAGCUGUAUGAUCCUGGACAACCUACUUCAUCUCAUUUACUCUGAACCAUUCUUGCAUGUCUACAAUGUUCCAGGCCCCAUCCAUGACCCUGGACUUCAGAAAGUCAGAUAAGGCAACAAUCUUGUCUUCCAAGGACAUGCAUUACAGUCCAGAAAGGGCAGAGAAGUGUUAAUGAAUCAGUCUUAGCAUGUGAAGAUACAAAAACGGCUCAAGGUUCCUCAAGCCCCAGGGUCCAUGGACUUAUUCACCUUUUACUCUCUGUGAUAAUUAUUUGACUUUGCACAUGUAUUAUUUAUAGUACUCUAAAGGAUAUGUAAACAACUUUUACCAUGGACACUACCCCAGACUGUGCUGCUGUAUUCGAACAGUCACACGUGCAGUCGUGUUCACUGUCAUCCUGGGGUGC
rnacentral:lncRNA from 1 species